rnacentral:lncRNA from 1 species
AGACAGUGAAACCCUUCUUGAAGGAGUCUCUAGUGGCCACCAACAUCUCGCUGCAGAACUCUAUCGAAGCCUUGGAGUCCGCGACAGCGUGCUGGGCCCUCUCCUCUGAAAGAGAUCUAUGCAGUCUAGCAGUGGCAGCAUGCUGAAAUUUAUUUUUUUUUUUAAAACCGGCGGUUGCACUUAUUCGGGUUUCCUACGUACCCCUUCAAAAGGAGAAUGAAGCCAUACAUAGUUCUUAUAUGUUUGAAAAAUGCAGCGGAAAGAUCGAAUUAAACAUUUUAAUUCUACCAUGCAAGAGAAAUCAAAUCUCAAAAACAUCACUACAAAAACUCAUAAUCAAAGUGUCGGGAUCUUUUAAACGAUUAUGCUAAAAUCUAAUGUAUGAUUAACAUAAGAUCUGAAAUGAAAGACCUUAUUUAAGUUCUAAACUUAAACAACUUAGAUCCAACUAAUCUCUGAAUAUCCAUCGAAUAGACUCUAGAUAUUACUCCGUGAGGAGCCCCAAUAGAGGUAUGAACCCUUGGGGUAUUGAAUCUGAACUAAAAUGCUAGCGAAAAAUCUAUCUCUAGACAAGUCUCUAGAUUCAUACCUUUAUGAAAAUAGAAACAAAUAAAUCCGUGUCUCGUAGCCGCACAGUUUGUCAGGCCCCUAUGGAUCGUCCACACGAAGCCCUGGGCUGAUCAACAUCCAUGGAAGUGCUACCUCGCGAGGAUGUCCUGUGAUGGCUGAAAUCAAUCUUUCUCGAAAGUGAUCAACCUUUGAUCUUCUUCGAGAAAGGACAAGAAUGUAUGAGGAAGAAGAGGAGAUGGGCUCUCUGAUAUUCACAAAAUCAGAUUGCUUCUUUUUUCCCUAUGGAAGAAUCCUGCAUUUUCUAGGUGUUGGAGGGAGAGGGUGAUGAGGUGUUGGCGUGUGUUAAGGAAGAAAAUUAAUAUGAUUGAAAUCAUUCCAUUCCUAUUCCAUGCCUCCUCCUCCUCUCCUUUU